rnacentral:rRNA from 1 species
CAAUUAUUUAUAGCCUCUGGCUAUAGGAAAUUGUUAGUGGCAGACGGGUGAGUAAUGCGUAGGAAUCUACCUAGUAGUACGGAAUAGCCAUUAGAAAUGGUGGGUAAUACUGUAUAAUCCCCGAGGGGGAAAGAUUUAUCGCUAUUAGAUGAGCCUACGUUAGAUUAGCUAGUUGGUGAGGUAAUGGCUUACCAAGGCUAUGAUCUAUAGCUGGUCUGAGAGGACGAUCAGCCACACUGGAACUGAGAUACGGUCCAGACUCCUACGGGAGGCAGCAGUGGGGAAUAUUGGACAAUGGGCGAAAGCCUGAUCCAGCUAUGCCGCGUGAGUGAAGAAGGCCUUCGGGUUGUAAAACUCUUUCA